rnacentral:pre_miRNA from 1 species
GCUGCUUCCCCUUUUUCUGUUGCUCCUUUCUGCAGCAGAGCAGACGUCGCAGC